rnacentral:rRNA from 1 species
GACGAACGCUGGCGGCGUGCUUAACACAUGCAAGUCGAGCGGUAAGGCCCUUUCGGGGGUACACGAGCGGCGAGCGGGUGAGUAACACGUGGGUGACCUGCCCUCAGCUCUGGGAUAAGCCUGGGAAACUGGGUCUAAUACCGGAUAUGACUCCAUGACGCAUGUUGUGGGGUGGAAAGCCUUGUGCGGCUGAGGAUGGGCCCGCGGCCUAUCAGCUUGUUGGUGGGGUGAUGGCCUACCAAGGCGACGACGGGUAGCCGGCCUGAGAGGGCGACCGGCCACACUGGGACUGAGACACGGCCCAGACUCCUACGGGAGGCAGCAGUGGGGAAUCUUGCGCAAUGGGCGAAAGCCUGACGCAGCGACGCCGCGUGAGGGAUGACGGCC